rnacentral:rRNA from 1 species
CCUACGGGCGGCAGCAGUGGGGAAUAUUGGACAAUGGGGGGAACCCUGAUCCAGCCAUGCCGCGUGUGUGAAGAAGGCCCUCGGGUUGUAAAGCACUUUCAGUGAGGAAGAACGCCUGGUGGUUAAUACCCAUCAGGAAAGACAUCACUCACAGAAGAAGCACCGGCUAACUCCGUGCCAGCAGCCGCGGUAAUACGGAGGGUGCGAGCGUUAAUCGGAAUUACUGGGCGUAAAGCGCGCGUAGGUGGCUUGAUAAGCCGGUUGUGAAAGCCCCGGGCUCAACCUGGGAACGGCAUCCGGAACUGUCAAGCUAGAGUGCAGGAGAGGAAGGUAGAAUUCCCGGUGUAGCGGUGAAAUGCGUAGAGAUCGGGAGGAAUACCAGUGGCGAAGGCGGCCUUCUGGACUGACACUGACACUGGGGUGCGAAAGCGUGGGUAGCAAACAGGAUUAGAUACCCCUGUAGUC